rnacentral:rRNA from 1 species
UACAGGGGGCUCGAGCGUUAGUCGGAAUCACUGGGCUUAAAGGGUGCGUAGGCGGCUCGCCAAGUGCUUUGUGAAAUCCCGCAGCUCAACUGUGGAACGGCAGGGCAAACUGGCGAGCUUGAAGCAGGUAGGGGCUGGAAGAACAGUUGGUGGAGCGGUGAAAUGCGUAGAUAUCAACUGGAAUGCCGAUGGGGAAGCCGUCCAGCUGGGCCUGUCUUGACGCUGAGGCACGAAAGCGUGGGGAGCAAACAGG